CUAAGGCUCCAGAGGAAGCCACGGCUAACUCUGUGCCAGCAGCCGCGGUAAUACAGAGGCGGCAAGCGUUGUUCGGAAUUAUUGGGCGUAAAGAGCACGUAGGCGGCCUUGCAAGUCAGUUGUGAAAGCCUUCCGCUUAACGGAAGAAUGCCAGCUGAUACUACAGGGCUUGAGUACGGGAGGGGAGAGUGGAACUUCUGGUGGAGCGGUGAAAUGCGUAGAUAUCAGAAGGAACGCCGGCGGCGAAAGCGACUCUCUGGCCCGAAACUGACGCUGAGUGUGCGAAAGCUAGGGGAGCAAACGGGAUUAGAUACCACGGUAGUCCUAGCCGUAAA
rnacentral:rRNA from 1 species